CCUACGGGUGGCAGCAGUGAGGAAUAUUGGUCAAUGGGCUUACGCCUGAACCAGCCAAGUCGCGUGAGGGAAGACUGCCCUAUGGGUUGUAAACCUCUUUUGUCAGGGAGCAACGCCGGCUACGUGUAGCCGGGCUGAGAGUAACUGAAGAAAAAGCAUCGGCUAACUCCGUGCCAGCAGCCGCGGUACUACGGAGGAUGCGAGCGUUAUCCGGAUUUAGUGGGUUUAAAGGGUGCGUAGGCGGAAUGACAAGUCAGCGGUAAAAUCGCGGGGCUCAACCUCGCUCCGCCGUUGAAACUGGCGUUAUUGCGUGUGCGAGAAGUGUGCGGAAUGCGUGGUGUAGCGGUGAAAUGCAUAGAUAUCACGCAGAACUCCGAUUGCGAAGGCAGCAUACCGGCGCCCAACUGACGCUGAAGCACGAAAGCGUGGGUAUCGAACAGGAUUAGAUACCCGAGUAGUC
rnacentral:rRNA from 1 species